UGGAAAGGGCUGAGGCUGAGGGCUGGACUCCACCAUAUGGGCCAAGCGAGGAAGCUGCAGCAGACUGGGAACUAGGGCUAGCCAGCUGACCCCUGUAUGGGGCCCCAAGGGAGACAGAGGGCUGAGCACGUUUUCACGGUCACUUCAUACACAAGAAGUCUCAACAAUCCUGUAAGGAAAAGACCAUUGUCUUCUCUUUCAGGAAAAGUUUAUCCUGCCAACCUCAAGUUAAAAGUUCAAGUAAGAAGACAGAAAUGCCUUGUGAGGUUUAAAUUGAUGAAGGAUGAUAAUGGAGUCGUGACAGUUCUUCAAACCUAAACUAACCAGAGGUUUAUUUCCCUAGAAAAUAUUAUUUUUAAUCUCUAAUAAAGCAUA
rnacentral:lncRNA from 1 species